rnacentral:rRNA from 1 species
GACGAACGCUGGCGGCACGCUUAACACAUGCAAGUCGAACGAGAGAAGAGAAGCUUGCUUUUCUGAUCUAGUGGCGGACGGGUGAGUAACACGUGAGCAAUCUGCCUUUCAGAGGGGGAUACCGAUUGGAAACGAUCGUUAAUACCGCAUAACAUAAUUGAACCGCAUGAUUUGAUUAUCAAAGAUUUAUCGCUGAAAGAUGAGCUCGCGUCUGAUUAGCUAGUUGGUAAGGUAACGGCUUACCAAGGCGACGAUCAGUAGCCGGACUGAGAGGUUGAUCGGCCACAUUGGGACUGAGACACGGCCCAGACUCCUACGGGAGGCAGCAGUGGGGAAGAUUGCACAAUGGAGGAAACUCUGAUGCAGCGAUGCCGCGUGAGGGAAGAAGGUUUUAGGAUUGUAAACCUCUGUCUUCAGGGACGAAAAAAGACGGUACCUGAGGAGGAAGCUCCGGCUAACUACGUG